UACGGAGGGGGGCUAGCGUUGUUCGGAAUUACUGGGCGUAAAGCGCACGUAGGCGGCUUUGUAAGUUAGAGGUGAAAGCCCGGGGCUCAACUCCGGAAUUGCCUUUAAGACUGCAUCGCUAGAAUUGUGGAGAGGUAAGUGGAAUUCCGAGUGUAGAGGUGAAAUUCGUAGAUAUUCGGAAGAACACCAGUGGCGAAGGCGGACUUACUGGACACAUAUUGACGCUGAGGUGCGAAAGCGUGGGGAGCAAACAGG
rnacentral:rRNA from 1 species